rnacentral:rRNA from 1 species
UACGUAGGGGGCAAGCGUUGUCCGGAAUUAUUGGGCGUAAAGAGCGCGUAGGCGGUCCGAUAAGUCGGCUGUGAAAGUCAGGGGCUCAACCCUUGGAAGCCGGCCGAUACUGUCGGACUAGAGUCCGGAAGAGGCGAGUGGAAUUCCUGGUGUAGCGGUGAAAUGCGUAGAUAUCAGGAGGAACACCGGUGGUGUAGACGGCUUACUGGACCACGACUGACACUGAGGCACGAAAGCGUGGGUAGCAAACAGG